CCUACGGGAGGCUGCAGUGAGGAAUAUUGGUCAAUGGUCGGGAGACUGAACCCGCCAAGCCGCGUGAGGGAGGAAGGUACAGAGUAUCGUAAACCUCUUUUGUCAGGGAACAAAGACUGGGACGCGUCCCCGGAUGAGUGUACCUGAAGAAAAAGCAUCGGCUAACUCCGUGCCAGCAGCCGCGGUAAUACGGAAGGCCCGAGCGUUAUCCGGCUUCAGUGGGCGUAAAGGGAGCGUAGGCGGGCGUUCAAGUCAGCUGUAAAAUCGCGCGGCUCAACCGCGCCCCGCAGUUGAAACUGGACGCGUUGAGUUCACAACAGGCAGGCGGAAUGCGUGGGGUAGCGGUGAAAUGCAUAGAUAUCACGAGGAACCCCGAUUGCGAAGGCAGCCUGCCGGGGUGCGACUGACGCUGAGGCUCGAAGGUGCGGGUAUCAAACAGGAUUAGAUACCCCGGUAGUC
rnacentral:rRNA from 1 species